rnacentral:rRNA from 1 species
UACGGGGGGGGCAAGCGUUGUUCGGAAUUACUGGGCGUAAAGGGCUCGUAGGUGGCCAACUAAGUCAGACGUGAAAUCCCUCGGCUUAACCGGGGAACUGCGUCUGAUACUGGAUGGCUGGAGAUUGGGAGAGGGAUGCGGAAUUCCAGGUGUAGCGGUGAAAUGCGUAGAUAUCUGGAGGAACACCGGUGGCGAAGGCGGCAUCCUGGACCAACACUGACGCUGAUGAGCGAAAGCCAGGGGAGCAAACGGG